UACGGAGGGGACAAGUGUUACUCAUAAUAACUGGGCGUAAAGGGUAUGUAGAUUGUUUAUUUUGUUAAUUAUUAAAGAAUAAAUUAAUAGUUUAUUAAAAUAAUUAAUACGUUUAAACUAGAGUAUAAUAGAGGAAUAUGGAAUUUUAGUGGAAGGGUGAAAUUUUACAAUAAUAAAAAGACGAUCAAAAGCGAAAGGCAAUAUUCUGGGAUUAUUACUGACAUUGAUAUACUGAAGCAUGGGUAGCAAAUCGGG
rnacentral:rRNA from 1 species